rnacentral:rRNA from 1 species
UACGGAGGAUGCGAGCGUUAUCCGGAUUUAUUGGGUUUAAAGGGUGCGUAGGCGGCUUUUUAAGUCAGCGGUGAAAUUUUGCAGCUUAACUGUAACAGUGCCGUUGAUACUGCGGAGCUAGGAUUUGGUUGCUGUGGGUGGAAUGUGUGGUGUAGCGGUGAAAUGCUUAGAUAUCACACAGAAUAUCGAUUGCGAAGGCAGCUCACAAAGCCAAGAUUGACGCUGAGGCACGAAAGUGUGGGGAUCAAACAGGA